UGUAUCUGAAGCCUGACGAGGAUGAGAACCUCCGGGGGCAAGAGGUUCGACCCGAGCGAAGCGAGAGAACGUUGCGCCAGCAACGGCCCGCAGUGGCAAGUCAUCCUCUGUCACCGGCA
rnacentral:sRNA from 3 species